rnacentral:rRNA from 1 species
UACGUAGGGGGCAAGCGUUGUCCGGAUUUAUUGGGCGUAAAGAGCGUGUAGGCGGCUUUACAGGUCCGUUGUGAAAACUCGAGGCUCAACCUCGAGACGCCGGUGGAAACCAUCUAGCUAGAGUCCGGAAGAGGAGAGUGGAAUUCCUGGUGUAGCGGUGAAAUGCGCAGAUAUCAGGAAGAACACCCGUGGCGAAGGCGGCUCUCUGGGACGUGACUGACGCUGAGACGCGAAAGCGUGGGGAGCAAACAGG